rnacentral:rRNA from 2 species
CAUGAUUUACAUUUGAGUGAGUGGCGAACUGGUGAGUAACACGUGGGAAACCUGCCCAGAAGCGGGGGAUAACACCUGGAAACAGAUGCUAAUACCGCAUAACAACUUGGACCGCAUGGUCCGAGCUUGAAAGAUGGCUUCGGCUAUCACUUUUGGAUGGUCCCGCGGCGUAUUAGCUAGAUGGUGGGGUAACGGCUCACCAUGGCAAUGAUACGUAGCCGACCUGAGAGGGUAAUCGGCCACAUUGGGACUGAGACACGGCCCAAACUCCUACGGGAGGCAGCAGUAGGGAAUCUUCCACAAUGGACGAAAGUCUGAUGGAGCAACGCCGCGUGAGUGAAGAAGGGUUUCGGCUCGUAAAACUCUGUUGUUAAAGAAGAACAUAUCUGAGAGUAACUGUUCAGGUAUUGACGGUAUUUAACCAGAAAGCCACGGCUAACUACGUGCCAGCAGCCGCGGUAAUACGUAGGUGGCAAGCGUUGUCCGGAUUUAUUGGGCGUAAAGCGAGCGCAGGCGGUUUUUUAAGUCUGAUGUGAAAGCCUUCGGCUCAACCGAAGAAGUGCAUCGGAAACUGGGAAACUUGAGUGCAGAAGAGGACAGUGGAACUCCAUGUGUAGCGGUGAAAUGCGUAGAUAUAUGGAAGAACACCAGUGGCGAGGCGGCUGUCUGGUCUGUAACUGACGCUGAGGCUCGAAAGUAUGGGUAGCAAACAGGAUUAGAUACCCUGGUAGUCCAUACCGUAAACGAUGAAUGCUAAGUGUUGGAGGGUUUCCGCCCUUCAGUGCUGCAGCUAACGCAUUAAGCAUUCCGCCUGGGGAGUACGGCCGCAAGGCUGAAACUCAAAGGAAUUGACGGGGGCCCGCACAAGCGGUGGAGCAUGUGGUUUAAUUCGAAGCUACGCGAAGAACCUUACCAGGUCUUGACAUACUAUGCAAAUCUAAGAGAUUAGACGUUCCCUUCGGGGACAUGGAUACAGGUGGUGCAUGGUUGUCGUCAGCUCGUGUCGUGAGAUGUUGGGUUAAGUCCCGCAACGAGCGCAACCCUUAUUAUCAGUUGCCAGCAUUAAGUUGGGCACUCUGGUGAGACUGCCGGUGACAAACCGGAGGAAGGUGGGGAUGACGUCAAAUCAUCAUGCCCCUUAUGACCUGGGCUACACACGUGCUACAAUGGAUGGUACAACGAGUUGCGAACUCGCGAGAGUAAGCUAAUCUCUUAAAGCCAUUCUCAGUUCGGAUUGUAGGCUGCAACUCGCCUACAUGAAGUCGGAAUCGCUAGUAAUCGCGGAUCAGCAUGCCGCGGUGAAUACGUUCCCGGGCCUUGUACACACCGCCCGUCACACCAUGAGAGUUUGUAACACCCAA